rnacentral:rRNA from 1 species
GAAUUCCUAGUAAGCGCGAGUCAUCAGCUCGCGUUGACUACGUCCCUGCCCUUUGUACACACCGCCCGUCGCUCCUACCGAUUGAAUGAUCCGGUGAAGUACUCGGAUCGCGGCGACGUGGGUGGUUCGCCGUCCGCGACGUCGCGAGAAGUUUUCUAAACCUUAUCAUUUAGAGGAAGGAGAAGUCGUAACAAGGUUUCCGUAGGUGAACCUGCGGAAGGAUCAUUG